GGCGGAUGUAGCCAAGUGGAUAAAGGCAGUGG
rnacentral:tRNA from 13 species